CGCGGGGUGGAGCAGUUGGAAGCUCGUCGGGCUCAUAACCCGAAGGUCGGCCGUUCGACUCGGCCCCCCGCAA
rfam:Candidatus Firestonebacteria bacterium GWA2_43_8 gwa2_scaffold_32246, whole genome shotgun sequence.